UACAUCUCCUGGGUGCUGCUGGCAGAAGCGGUACUGCAUUGCUACACAGCAGCAGCUCCUUGCCUUCGCGUCAGAUGGUGCAGUAGGACUGAUAGCCGUCGUAUAUCUUCUGGGUUCUCCUGGCAGACCUUGGUGCUGAAUGAUGAUCUAA